rnacentral:rRNA from 1 species
GACGAGGGGUCCAAGCGUUGUUCGGAAUCAUUGGGCGUAAAGGGCGUGUAGGCGGUAUGUUAAGUCAUGUGUGAAAUCCCUCGGCUCAACCGGGGAACGACGCAUGAAACUGGCAAGCUAGAGUACCAAAGAGGGUGGUGGAAUUCCCGGUGUAGCGGUGAAAUGCGUAGAUAUCAGGAAGAACACCCGUGGCGAAGGCGGCUCUCUGGGACGGUACUGACGCUGAGACGCGAAAGCGUGGGGAGCGAACAGG